rnacentral:misc_RNA from 1 species
GACAACAAUAAUCAUCGCUCCCUCCUACUCUUUCUAUCUUUAACAGCUACCACGGCCAUCGGCAAGACACCGACGCAUACACGUACGCACACAGGCGCGCUCUUGCUUCGCCCCUCCCCUUCACCCCGACGCACCCACAGAGGCAAUCCUUCUGUUUUUUGUUUCUCCUCCUUGCCACUUGGCUACACUGUAUCUACCUACUGUUUCAGUCUUCUCUCUCUAUUUCUACUUGCCGAUUCACGCUCACGUACGCGACUGCGCGCCGAUAUGUCGACUGAGGACCAACAAGUCACGCAGGACACGGCGCACGCUCCUGCCCCGACCACCGUGAAGAACAAGGCGAACUCGUACUAUUACUGGCACCAACACGAAAAGGAUCGAGCGAAGGUUGGCGAUGUUGCACCGAUGCCUACGCCGUACCUCGUUUCCAAGGACGAUGCUCGGGCCGUGGCUGCGCCUGCUGUGCCGACGGUGUCUGUGUCCAAGUACAGCUGGUGCGACGGGGACAAGUUUGUGUCGGUGUACAUCGACACCGUCGUGCCGGAGGGCGGAACGCUGGACGAGAGCUCUAUCGAGGCGACCUUCACCGGCAACUCCUUCAAGGUCACCUUCGCCACUGCGGAUGAGGCGGGGAGGACGCGCGCGAAAAGCCUCUCGAUCCGCCUGUCGAAGCGGAUUGACAAGGACAGGAGCUCGACAAAGGUGAAGCCGAAGACGCAGCAGAUUUUGGUGAGACUGGCAAAGAAGGUGGAGAGUGUGUGGUUGGACCUGGAGGGAGAGGCGAGCGACCAGGACUCAGCAGCUGACGGCGAUGCAGCGGAUGCGGAGUAAAGUCGCCCCCUCCACGAUCCUCUUUCGUUUAUAACCUUACAGAUGAGGUGAGGAGGUUCUGGAGAGGCUGACGCUGGAGGACAGAAGAAGAAAGCAGAAGCAUGAAGAAUUCCCGGAGUAGAGGCAUCAGCCACUAGUCAACUCAAGUGCCUCCGGCCGCUCUUCACCGCUGUAAUGUGAUGCACCUUUACAUGAAGAGGGUGGGAUGGGCCGCGUGGUCAAUUUGAGUGCUUCGCGUCUUUCUCUUUCUUAAUCUUUGGUCCCUCUCCUCUGCCUCCCUCCCGCACACGGAGAAGGUUCGUCUCCAAGACGAUUGCCUCCUCUCCCCGUUUCUUCCAUUAUUUCCUUUAUUUUAUGUGUCUCUGUGCACGCGUCUGGAAGGAGGGCAUCGCUGCUUGAGUGUUCACACUCCCCACUUUCUCCACUCUCGUCUCCUCUUCUUGGUGCGCCGAGCCCUCCUUCUCGUUUUGCCAGAUGUGACGUGAUAUGUUUUUUUUUUUUUGCAUCUUUCCGUGUGUGUCCGUCCCUUGGAUGAUACUGCGAGUGCUUCCCCACUCGCUCAUCCACAUCGACCCCCCUCUCGCCCUCCUCUCUCGACACCCUCCCCCCCCUGCUCUCCAGCAGAGCCCUUCAUCACACAUGCGCAGGGAGGCUCCACAAGGGAAUCAGAGCGAGAGCUCUCGCGUGAGACACACACGCGCACCGAACAGAAGAGGUGAGUUAUCACGGCGGCAAUAAAACAUAUGAAUCCUGAGUGUAUGCGUUCACUGCAUCUCGACUCUCGCAUGGGCCGAUGGAUGCCUUUGCGCAGCAAGCCACGUGCAUACGCGUACGUGUGAGCGGAGGGAAAGGAGAAGUGAAGGCAAACACUCGCGUCGGAGCACUCCCUCUCUCCUUGUUCCUUCUUCUGACUCCAACCCCUCAGCACGGCAUGAUGCUGCUCUCGCUUGACGGUCUUUGAUGCACGUCCUGUGCAUUCGCAUAAACGGAUGCCAACUCCAGAAAGCGCUCUAGUGCAGUGUGUAGAGGCCCGUCUGCGUCUGUAUACUGGGUAUAGUGCUGCUUUUGUACUUUCCGUGCGCGUUUACCCGGGGAGG